AAAUAAUAAAAUAUUUGAAUUAAAUGUAUGCAUGCAAUUUAUUUUUAAUAUUAAAUACAUAUUAUUCAUAAUUUCAAAUUUUUUUAGUAUUUUAUGGAUUAAAAAUUUAAUUAAUGAUGAUAUAAAUUACCAGAAAUGUUAACUACUAAAUAAAAAUCUAAGAAUAAUCUCAACUGCAAAGAAUACUAUUUGUUAGUUAUAGUUUUAUUGAAGAGUAUGUAUUUUAAGGAUUAUAUGGAAAAUUGGUUAUCUGCAGAAAUUAAUUUCCCUAAUAUAUGGUUAAUCUGGAAUCUAUUGUAUAUGCUAGCCAACUCCGGAGUUUUUCCGUGCUCACAUUGAUGAAAAUAAUAAUAAUAGACAACAUUAAGCUGUAUGCCUCAACACAAGGACAAUUACAACAGUUGUUACAAAUCACACAGAUAUUUUCAAAAGACAUCUGCAUGGAAUUUGGCCUAAACAAAUGUAAAACAUUUCACACAGAAAAGGGAGUUCUAAAGAAAGGAAAUUUCACUCUUUAAAAUGGAGACACUAUUGAAUCCAUGGAAGAGGGUGAAUUGUACAAGUAUUUGGGAUUCCAGCAGGCCAGAAUCACAGAACAGAAGAAAACUACACAAACACUGUCAAGCCUGUACACCAACAGAUUAAAUAACAUUCUCAAAACACAGCUGAAUGGAAAAAACACAGCGAAAGCCAUU
rnacentral:lncRNA from 1 species